GUUAAGUGGUGCCUUUUGGGUGGAAUUUUGAAGGUUUUGGAUUAAAAUCGAACCCAUAGAAGAAGGGAAAAUCAGAAUUUGGGGGCUAGCAGAGUUGCAUUGAUAAAUGAUAAUUUACAAAACCCAUGAACAGUACCUGGGUUUUCCUUGAAGGAGCAGAACUAUCAGCAUACUAUUCUGGACGCAUAAAAUUGAGAGCCUUAGACCAAAAUACUAGAAUGGAUUGAUUCUUGAGGCUGUAUUUUCUUGACGCCCUUUUUUUCUACAUCAAAAUGCUUUGAUUCUUCAUUAUCAUGGCUGAUAAAGUUAUUGACUCGCCUUAGUAAAGUCUUCAUUUUUUUGGCGUUUUUUUAUUUGGCAUUGUUUGCUUUUGUAGGGAAAGGCAACUUCAAUUGUAAUAGCAGUCCAGUCCUUGCUCCCCAUGCCAGCCUGGGACAUGUGUUCUGGUCCUUGACAAUGAUAGGACGGAACAAUUAUAGCAUUCGAGUUGAAUAAGGACACGAUUAGUGUUGACAAGACACUGUCAGACUCCUUGGUGCCAGUAGUAUCCUGUCUGUUGUGCCUUUUAACCUUUGCUUGAGAUUGCUUUCUUGCAGGGAUUGAAAGAUGAUUACAAGUGUGAUUAUCUCAAGGGCAUAGACACAUGGACAUAUCAUAUCAGCCUCACAAAAAAAAAAAAAACCCAG
rnacentral:misc_RNA from 1 species